rnacentral:rRNA from 1 species
UACGUAGGGUGCAAGCGUUAAUCGGAAUUACUGGGCGUAAAGCGCGUGUAGGCGGCUAUGUAAGUCGGGCGUGAAAUCCCACGGCUCAACCGUGGAAGUGCACCCGAAACUGCGUAGCUAGAGUCCUGGAGAGGAAGGUGGAAUGCUUGGUGUAGAGGUGAAAUUCGUAGAUAUCAAGCGGAACACCGGUGGCGAAGGCGGCCUUCUGGACAGUGACUGACGCUGAGACGCGAAAGCGUGGGGAGCAAACAGG